rnacentral:lncRNA from 10 species
CACAGAGGAUGGAGGCACUGGGUGGAAGUCCAGAGUCAAAGAGGCCAGGCUGGAUGAACCAACAAGGACAAAUCUGAGACAGAGAUGCAGAUUGAAAUCAUUUUACAUCUGACAGAAAGGAAAACAAGGUAAUUCCCACAGACUUCCAGAAGAGGUGUCCAGAAAGAUCAGCUCACUUCGUCAGCUAAGAGCUGCAGGAAGCAGGAAGACUCCAGUGAAAAUAUAAGCAGCUCUGGCAAGCUAACAAUCACAUCUGUUAGCCACUGGAUAAAAUAAGAGUUGGCAAGGACCGGUGUGUCUGAACUGACUUAUUUUCUAGUGGGAGGGGUAAACUUCUGCUGAUUAACCACUCAGGAUCCUAACUAACUUUCUGGCAUGGUGUUUACAUGAUUAUGCCAUUGGCCUUGAAAUGAGAGUGACUUUUAGGGAUACUUCAAAAGGCAAUUCUUUUACUGUUCCUGGAACCUAAGACCCCUACAAAGAAAGCCCGGCCCACCUACUGUGUGCAGUCAUGUCUUCUAGGACUUCUGCAAGAGUUACUCCCAGGUGUAUGACAUACACCCAGGUAUAUGACAAAGGGAUCUAUAUGGGAAAUCACUUAUAUAGUGAGUAUGAACAGAGAGCCACAAGCUCAGGAGCACAGUAAAUAUCAUAUUUCUUUACUUUUCAGUUAAUAAUUUCAUUCUGACUCUGUGAUACACCAUGUUUUGGUGGGUUAUAACCUCAUUCUUCCAUGGGGCUCUCCUCCUGGUGGUUUUGUCAAGGUGCUGGGGAUCAGGAUCUUUAAUCUGGCCAGCAGGCACCUAUCCCUCCAUGAUCCCAGCCAUGUCAUCAGGAUGCAGAUUGGUGGCUUUGGUUUAACACUGGGCACACGAGAAGCCAUGUCAAGGCUGGGUGUUCUGGGCCGUGAUUCCUUCUAGGUUCUGCUACUUAUUGUUGCUGCCAGGCACUGACUUAUAGAUCCUGGUGCUCAAAGGACUACACACUUCUUUUCUCUCCUAGCCUAGAUAAUCUGUUUUUUGCAUUUCUUGUUUAUUUUUUAUUUUUAUUUUGAAACUGGGUCUUGCUUUGUCACCCAGGCUGGAUGCAGUGCUACAAUCAUAGCUCACUGUAGCCUCAAAGUCCUGGGCUCAAGCCAUCCUCCUGCCUCAGCCUCCUGAUUAACUGGAACUAAAGGCAUGUGCCACCAUGCUUGGCUAAUGUUUUUUUUUUCUUUUUUUCUUUUUCUUUCUGUCUUUUUUUUUUUUUUUUUUUUUUGGUUAAAGAACGAAUCUAGCUAUGUGCCCAGGCUGGUCUCAAAAUCCUGGCCUCAAAUGAUCCUCCUAACUUGGCUUCCCAAAGUGUUGGGGUUAUAGGCAUGAGCCACUGUGCCCUGCUAAUAAUCUGUUUUUAAUCUUGGAAAAUAUUCUGUUUAUCCAUAUUUCUAUCCAAAGCAUGCACAUAGACUUCUCUUUCUUCUCCCUCUGACCCUGGGGAAUUUACUUUUAUGUUGGGGAAAUCCUUCUCUCUCUCCAUGUUUUCCUCACAAGUACCCCAUCUUCCUACACCUCAUUACUCUCUGUGGAAUUUUGCUUCUGGAAACAAAAGCCAAGAAGGGAAGUUUUUGCAGGCCAUCUCUAUUUCUUUCUCUGAAGGGGAAAAAAUAGAAAAUGUAGGGUGAAAAUUAUACAUUACUAUCACAAAAAUUAUCUUAGCAUAGACAUAUACAUACAUUCUCAAAGGCCUGCCUGGUUAAUUUAGUUUUGCACUGGUAAAACAAACAAAAGACACACUAGACAAAAGGAUCUGCAAAUCUUAUGAGUUGAGUAAUUUAUGAAUUUGUCAGAGUGUCCAAUGUAGAAGAUGAACUAUAUUCAAUUUGGUUUAAUGUGUCAAGGAGGAGAGAGUGAAGAGGAGAUCACCUUCCCAGAAUUCUUCCAAGGGAACUAUAGUCGUCAUACUUCCACUUGCAAAUUAUACUACAUUUACUCAUGGCUAUAUAUAAUUCAAGGAUUUUUAUGGUCAUCUUUUAUUGAUUAGCAUCAGCUAAAUUCUCUGCAUUAAAAUGUUUUUUGUAGAGAACUAUGUUUACAAACAGAAACAACAGAACUAAUGGACAUUACCUUGACCUCUGCCAGCACUGGAUAUGAGUGACCACUCUUUCUGAAACUCUCUUCUCCACUAGAUUCCAUAGAAGCACUCUGUCAUAGUUCUCCUCCUCCUUUCUUAUCUUACCUUUUUGAAAUUCUUCAUGAGGUUUUUUCCUUCAUCCACAUGGGAGUACUUAUCCAUUUACAGUUCCCCACUUCCAUUCUUUGUCUUCUGUUCCCCUCCCAGGAUAAUCUCACCUACUCUCAGAGUUUUAGCCACCAGCAAUCUGCUAAUGACUCACUCAUCCCUGCCCAGAUCCCUGCUGGACACCUUCAUCUGAAUGUUCCAUAGCACCUCAAACUCAACAUGUCCAAAGCAGAAUGCUUCAACUUCUCUUCCACUAACCUGUACCCCUCUUUCUGCUCCCUUUCAUAAUCCACACAGUAAUUUCCAUCUCUGCUUCUUAAUCUUGACCAACUCACCCAGGCACACAAAAUCAGUGCCUACACAAGGUAGUUGCUACAGCAGCUCCAGCUUUACUCUCAGCCUUCUGGUUACUGCUCUUGUCCAACUGGUUCAGGGACUCCAGAUUUGACUGCACUGUUUGCUUCCAUCUCUGCUAGUUUCGUGAUCUUUGGUCUCCCUUUUUGCUUCUUGGACUUCUACCUCCCUUUCAAUACUUGACUCUCUUCUCUCUCUCUGAUGAUAUUGUCCUAUGAGGUCUUGGAAGAAAACUCCCUCAACCACCCAGGCUAACUUUUUAGGCUUCCCUCCGCUGGUAAAGGAUGAGACAAACCCCUACGUUCCAGACUGCUUGAGUCCUCACUUUCCUUCACCUCUUCAUACCGAGUUAACCACUAAGCCAUCAAUGAACAUGUCCUGCACUCUCCUUAUCAACCCUGCUGAUGCUGCCUUAAAUUAAGCCCUCAUCUUCUUUUCCCUGCAUUAUUCAAACAGCUUCCUAACGGUCUCCAGUCUCCUAUUUUGUUCCUCACCUGGCAGCCAGAUUAUUUGUUCUAUAACACAGUGUGGGUCUUUCCUUUGCUUAAAACCCAUCAGGAAAUAUCUGCAACCCUGAUCUCUCAUCAGAAAAAAAUCCGUGAAAUGCUUAAAAGACAUAGAUUUUGGCAUCAACUCUAGAGAUCAUAGCUCAGUGUGUUUGAGACAGGGCUAUGACGUCAGAACUCCUGGGGUAACUCUGAUGUGCAGCCUCCACAGCAUGGCACCCCAGUUCCACUGUGGCAUGCUUCUACCCACACUUCCAUCUCGGCUCCUGCUUCAGCAGAGCUGGAGGAUGUCUCUUACCUUUCGGAAUCUUAGGAUCCAUUACAGUGCUUGAUGGUCAUUGACAUUAACUAGACCACUGCAUGAUGACAGCAAAUAUUAUCAAAGAACCAGAGGUGUUUUUGAGGUUGUUAAGGGCCCUGGAGCUACAGUUUAAAGAAUUCCUAUGUAACUGUUCUCACUAAUUCAAUGUAUUCCUUUUCUUAAUUCCAUAUUCAGUGCUAUUUCUGUAGAGUACUAGACAAAAUAAUUUCUCACCCUACUUGGUAUUUACACCUUUAAAGUAUUUAUAGAUUGCUUUUAUAUCCUCACGUAGUCAUCACUUAACCAAACAGUAUGCAUUUUAGUUUUACACUAUUACUUUAGAAAUUCAUCCCUCCAUAAAGUGAUAGCUUUUCCUGAAUUAUUCUAUUUCUUUAUAUAUUUCUUAAAUUGUAGUAUUUCUUCUUUGAAUAACUAGAUAACGAGCCUGUUGAAGAUAGCAAUUCUGACUUACAAUUACGACUUUGCCUUCACUGUUGCCUCUACCAUGAUUGACACAGAACUGGGCAUAAAAUAUGGGGAGAGGAGGAAAGAGUGGAUUUGCCAAGAAGCUGUAGGGACAGAAAGUUCUGAACCCUCUUUCUGUCAUGUUUUUGGUCCUCCUAACCCAUGUUCCAGCUGUUCAUUACUGCUACCACCAGAUGUUUUAGGUAUACAUAUUUCUCUGAUUGAACUACAAAUAAGCUAAUUCAUUAUCCCUCAGUAAGAAAGAAAACCUAGGAGAAAAUGGAACACUUGGUAUUAUUUCACGUCUCUGGAAAAGGAUUGCUCACAUUAUAUAACUUGAUGAGAAUUUGCCAAAACUCCAAAUGAUACUUCUGUCAGGCAGUGUAAAUUGCCAUUCUGGAUCUCUAUUACAAGAAGUUGUAUUUGGCUACAAUCCAAUGAAAUGUAUCAAAAUGCAAUUUCCAAGGCAUUCAGAACUGUACCCUUCAUUUGAUUCUGUGCAUGCCCACAUAGGAGCUGGAAAAAUAUUCAUUAAGU